rfam:Echinostoma caproni strain Egypt genome assembly, scaffold: ECPE_scaffold0005319
GCACUGCUGACGAGUCCCAAAAAGGGCGAAAUAGCUGUCCAGUGC